UCUAUUUUGCUUCGUCUCCUUCUUCUUCCCAUCAUCUCCCGACGACUAGUCGACUACUACUGCAGGAGGACUACGACUACGACUACAACCCAAUCAAUCAUAAAUGGUUACACGUGAGUCAGACUUUUAAUUCAAGCGCCUCUGCCUCCGUUCCAUUCUACCUUCUCGUGAACCUAUCACGAGCCUCGCCUCGCUAGCUGCUUCACGUGUUCUCCCUCUCCUUCAAAAUUAUUCCUUCUCUCAGGUUCCCCUUCAUGAUGAUUGGGUUCUGCCAAGCUACCAACCUACCUGAUCAACCCACUUUCAUCCAAUUCAAUCUUACGUUACCAACUUCAAUCGACUCCUGCAUCUGAAGUAUGUCAGAUUACAUGUACUCCCGAUCGAUGAACAAUAAGCAAUAAGGUUUGUCUCAAAGCAAGAAAAGAAAAGAUGGCCAAAAAGGGUGGCAAAGCCAGAGAAACCACGCUUAUGAGGAGAUGCAUAAGCACCCAUUAGAGUUCUUGUACAUGCAAUGCAUGUCGAUCGGAUUGCGCCGGCCGGCUCACCCACGGCGGGUCUAUGCAUGGGUCGAUCCCCAGUUUUCCCCGUUGCCGGAGAGCUCCAGCUCCAGGUCUGGCGAGUCCGACGACUUCAGGGAGCUCGCAAGAGCCGCUUUCAUCACUAUGAAUCUCGGCAGCAGUAAGCUCGACUUGGUUUGUAUAAUACGAAUCGAUCCUUUGUUUGUUAUUGAAGGACAUGAAUGCUCAAAAAAUUUGCACACUGAACCAAA